rnacentral:rRNA from 1 species
CAUGCAAGCCGAGCGGUAGAAGAUCUUCGGAUCUUUGAGAGCGGCGUACGGGUGCGGAACACGUGUGCAACCUGCCUUUAUCAGGGGGAUAGCCUUUCGAAAGGAAGAUUAAUACCCCAUAAUAUAAUGAGUGGCAUCACUUAUUAUUGAAAACUCCGGUGGAUAGAGAUGGGCACGCGCAAGAUUAGAUAGUUGGUAGGGUAACGGCCUACCAAGUCAGUGAUCUUUAGGGGGCCUGAGAGGGUGAUCCCCCACACUGGUACUGAGACACGGACCAGACUCCUACGGGAGGCAGCAGUGAGGAAUAUUGGACAAUGGGUGAGAGCCUGAUCCAGCCAUCCCGCGUGAAGGACGACGGCCCUAUGGGUUGUAAACUUCUUUUGUAUAGGGAUAAACCUUUCCACGUGUGGAAAGCUGAAGGUACUAUACGAAUAAGCACCGGCUAACUCCGUGCCAGCAGCCGCGGUAAUACGGAGGGUGCAAGCGUUAUCCGGAUUUAUUGGGUUUAAAGGGUCCGUAGGCGGAUCUGUAAGUCAGUGGUGAAAUCUCAUAGCUUAACUAUGAAACUGCCAUUGAUACUGCAGGUCUUGAGUAAAGUAGAAGUGGCUGGAAUAAGUAGUGUAGCGGUGAAAUGCAUAGAUAUUACUUAGAACACCAAUUGCGAAGGCAGGUCACUAUGUUUUAACUGACGCUGAUGGACGAAAGCGUGGGGAGCGAACAGGAUUAGAUACCCUGGUAGUCCACGCCGUAAACGAUGCUAACUCGUUUUUGGGUUUUCGGAUUCAGAGACUAAGCGAAAGUGAUAAGUUAGCCACCUGGGGAGUACGUUCGCAAGAAUGAAACUCAAAGGAAUUGACGGGGGCCCGCACAAGCGGUGGAUUAUGUGGUUUAAUUCGAUGAUACGCGAGGAACCUUACCAAGGCUUAAAUGGGAAUUGACAGGUUUAGAAAUAGACUUUUCUUCGGACAAUUUUCAAGGUGCUGCAUGGUUGUCGUCAGCUCGUGCCGUGAGGUGUUAGGUUAAGUCCUGCAACGAGCGCAACCCCUGUCACUAGUUGCCAUCAUUCAGUUGGGGACUCUAGUGAGACUGCCUACGCAAGUAGARAGGAAGGUGGGGAUGACGUCAAAUCAUCMCGGCCCUUACGCCUUGGGCC